GGGCGAAUAGCUCAGUUGGUUAGAGCGCCUGACUUACAUUCAGGAGGUCGUAGGUUCGAGUCCUAUUUCGCCCA
rnacentral:tRNA from 1 species